rnacentral:misc_RNA from 1 species
AAGUCGUAACAAGGUCUCCGUUGGUGAACCAGCGGAGGGAUCAUUACCGAGUUUACAACUCCAAACCCACUGUGAACCUUACCUUCUGUUCUGUUGCCUCGGCGGGGGGGAAACCGCCCCGGGAGGGUAACUCCCCCGGGGGGACCCCUCCCCCUCGCCGGCAGCACCAAACUCUUGAAUUUACAGCGGACUAAAACGUUCUGAAUGGCAAAAACAAAAACAAGUUAAAACUUUCAACAACGGAUCUCUUGGUUCUG